rnacentral:tRNA from 1 species
AGGGUUGUAGCUCAAUGGUAGAGCUCUUGCCUUGCAUGUAUGAGGCACUGGGUUGAUCCUCAGCCCCA